rnacentral:rRNA from 1 species
UACGGAGGAUUCAAGCGUUAUCCGGAUUUACUGGGUGUAAAGGGGGCGCAGACGGCGAUGCAAGCCAGGAGUGAAAGCCCGGGGCUCAACCCCGGGACUGCAUUGGGAACUGCCCCGCUCGAGUGCCGGAGGGGCAGGCGGAAUUCCUAGUGUAGCGGUGAAAUGCGUAGAUAUUAGGAGGAACACCAGUGGCGAAGGCGGCCUGCUGGACGGUGUACUGACGCUGAGGCUCGAAAGCGUGGGGAGCAAACAGG